rfam:Neisseria elongata subsp. glycolytica ATCC 29315, complete genome.
CCGUUAAGUGGCUUGCAAUAGCGGCUUAACAGUUUCUCCUCUAUUUCUCCUUUGUAGACUUGGCACACAUUUGAAAAAAUGUGUGCAUUUUU